UCGUGCCCUCUUUGGGCAUGGGAUGAACUCGUUGGUGCUUUGCAUGUUCCUUUGUAAGCCAUCGGCUCAUCUCUUGGCCCAUGCUCGGUUACCUGACCCUCGGAUGCUGAAAAUUAAGUGGGCAAGGGGUUGAGAAACCCCUCUGAUAAGCCCGAGCCUAGCGCUCGUCGCUCGAACCGAAAGACGUUGUGGCUCGCCUUGGUGUUCUUGAACCAUGGGUUCUCGUAACGGCCAUGCGUUGUCCCAA
rnacentral:misc_RNA from 1 species